GCACCGGUUGUGUGUGGUACACGUGCCAGGUCAAUCACAUUUCGUUCUAUUUGCAUAUCCAACGGUGAACGGGGUUCGAUUCCCCGCCGGUGCA